rnacentral:misc_RNA from 1 species
CUCUGACACAGAGUAUAAAUACUUUCCUAACUAGUAAUCUAAGGACUUUGAAUCAAAAUAGAAGUAUAAUUCCUUGUUUUUAUUGGCCGUCAUUUUAAAAAGCUUUAAAUAUUGAGGUGCGAUAACCGUAAAAUCGAUUACGACACAGUGACCUUUUCUGUCAGGUCACUGAAAUCAACAUCAAUAUAAAUCAGGCACACUUGACAUCAUCACUACAUUAUACUACGUCAAUACAUCCAUCUACAGUCGUAUCAUACACACUACAUCACUACUCGUCCCCAUUCGUCAUUGCUCAUCUACACGUUGAAGUAGGUACCUACUAAAGCCACUAAGAGAUGGAGAAACAGCAGUACAAUAAGACACUGAAACUAGAAAAAACAGUUUUGAAGCUAAAGGAGGCAAGUGAAAAAAAUGAAAGAAAACUAUGUUUGCUGAAAGAUCAGUGUUUGGCCACAAUGGAAUAUCAGUGUCAUCUACUAACAUGUUUGAAUGAUCUGAGAUGUCAACAGAUUGCUGAAUUGCAAGAAAGGCUUAAUUUUUUCACCAUGAAUCUUGGCCAAAUCACACAGCAGCUGAUAUUUGUCAAUAAUAGACUGGAACAUGAUGGUGACUUUGAUAACCGGGCUUUGCCUCACCAACGCCAACACAAACACGGCAUUUUGGAUAGACUGGCGCUCGAACUACGUUGUGGAAUUUGUUCGGAGAUCAUGGUUUUCGCAACCACUUUAAAUUGCAUGCACACAUUCUGCCAAUACUGUGUUGCCCAGUGGAAAAACGAGUCGCCUGCUGCUGGCUGUCCGGUUUGUCGGGAGCCAACUACUUUCGAAAGGAGGAACUUCUUGGUCGAUAACAUGAUUGCCAUUAUGGUCAGUUUGUAUUCUGAAGAUGAAAAAAUUUCCAGAAAGGAAUUGGUAAAGCAGCAAGAAGAAUUGCACCGAAAUCUUUUGGCUGCUGGAUUACGAACACCCGAGUCCAAUAAUCCUUUUUAUCGGAUUACCGACCGUGGGCUAGUUUUGGGAGAGAUGCAGAUUGGGGAGUUAGCUACAAAUAAUGAAGAAUACAACACAAACCAGGCGACGUCACGAUAACAGACGCAGAAACCAUUACGCCAGAUUACUAGUGAACAUUGGGAGGAGGAGAAUAUCCAGGAAUAGCCAGCACCCCAUUCCGCCUUGCAGUUCUGAUAACGUUCAAACUCCUAACGUCAGUAUCGUCUCGUCCACAAGUGAGUUAUCCUCAAGGAUCGGCGAGACUGCUUUGGCCUUAACGCUUCUUUAUAUCGGAGUGAUUCUGUUUUUGUAUUAUACCUUACAUAACUUACUUUUUUUGUAGAGAGCGUAUGUAUCUAUUUAAAGUUAAAAUUGUUUUUAUAUAAGGUUCCGUAUUUUAAUGAGUUAACCAUCAAUACACAGCAAAACAAGUAAAA